rnacentral:rRNA from 1 species
GAGUUUGAUUCUGGCUCAGGAUGAACGCUGGCGGCGUGCUUAACACAUGCAAGUCGAACGGACGAAUCUUAUCGGAGUUUUUCGGAACAAAGAAAAGAUAAGUUAGUGGCGGACGGGUGCGUAACGUGUGGGUAAUCUGCCUUUGUCAUGGGAAUAACUGCUUGAAAGAGCAGCUAAUACCGAAUAACAUAUGCAAUAGGCAUCUAUUGGAUAUCAAAGAGAAAUCGGACAAAGAUGAGCCCGCAUCUGAUUAGCUAGUUGGUAGGGUAACAGCCUACCAAGGCAACGAUCAGUAGCUGACCUGAGAGGGUGAACGGCCACAUUGGAACUGAGACACGGUCCAAACUCCUACGGGAGGCAGCAGUGGGGAAUAUUGCACAAUGGGGGGAACCCUGAUGCAGCAACGCCGCGUGAGUGAAGAAGGCUUUCGAGUCGUAAAACUCUGUUGUAAGGGAAGAUAAUGACA